CCACCUGAUCCCCAUUCCAUCCUGAUGGCAGCUGCUUCCUCCCCCUCCCGGAGAGAGCGUCCACCAGCUGCCACCUCUGAUGCAGAAACCGCUGGGAGAAUCUGCCUGCAUCCUGGAGAAGUUUCUCCAAGCUCAAAGAGGCCAGGAAGGUAACCGGUUCCUGUGUCCUACAGUGUCCCACACAGGUGCUGCACGGCCUGCUUCUACACUUAAAGACUGCCCCAGUCUCUGCAGCUGCAGCUAAAUGAGCUCCAGCCAGGAGGUUCCCACGCAGAUGUCUUAGCCGCCAAAUGGACCAGAGGAGCCCCACCUGGAGAGGAGGUGGAGUGAGAGAAGGAGCACCUGGCCGGCGCCAGCACCCAGGAGAGACCCUGCCCCUCCCUCCACUGCAGCUGCAUGCAUCAAGUGUUGUCAGGUCUCCGGAGCUGCAGGACACCCCCACCCUGCCUCCUGUGGUAGCUCAUUCGCUCUGUUCCCUCCACUGCCCACACAAGCGAUGACACCUGGACAACGCUCUUCUGUGAAUGAAGCAAAUAUUGUGAACGAUGCUGUUCACCACAGUUGGGGAGAGCUGUUUCCUGAGACCCAGAAGGAGCUCUAUCAGCCUCUCAGGAAUAGCCAUGACUCUGCUACAACUCUCAGAUGCUCAUUUCCCUUUUAGCUUUGGCAGCUGGGGAGCUCAGAGCCAAGUAUACAUUUGAUCACCCAGCCCUACCUCUUUCCCAGUGCCCACAGAGUAAGACUGAUGUGGAAGUUCUUCCUACACAAAUGCAGACGACUUGCAUUUGAGAAAAUAAACACUCUUAGGGAUAUCUUAUAUUACUAUGCUUGUUUACACCUACCCCUAGUUUCUUUCCUCUCUCCCCCCAAAUAAAACUACAUACACACCACUUAAAAUUUACUCCUCAGGAAUAAAUGUUCUGUGUGAACAUUUUGUUGCACACCCUUCCAGAUGGGCAUAAAAUGAAAGGACAGUUUUAUAAAAAUGCGAUCGUGUAAUGGACUCAACUAUACAGUGUGGAUGGCUUUUCACGCCAAUGAGUAUAAAUCCACAUGCCUCUGCAGUACUCUAUUACAUGGAUUAGCAUAAUUUAUUUAGCCAGAUUCCUCUUUCUACACAUUUAAGGUCUUUUUCAUUUUUGGUAAUUACAAAGCAAGCAGCUGUGGAAUUUCUGGUCCAAUCAUUCUUCCAACUUAUGUGAUACUCUUCUUACCAAAAAACAAAUUCUUGGGAAUGGACUCUUACCUUUAUUUUUAAUUUGGUAAUACACCACUUUGCAUUUUGCAAGUGAUUGGUAAAUAUUUGAGCUAACAAAAGUCACUUAUUAAAUAAAAUAUAUGAUGGCACAGCAAAAAGAAAUGAAGUCAGCGACUUGAUGCACCGUGAGUGAAUCUGAAAGGCAAACACGCUGAGAGGAAGAAGCCAGCCACCAAAUGCCACAGAGUGCAUGCUUCAGUUUACACAACACAUCCAAGAUAUGCAGACUAUAGGAUGAGAAAGAAGAUCGGGGGCCCCAGGGCUGCAGCAGGAUGGAAGAAGGAAGGCGGGUAGCUUAAAGGCUUCAGGUUUUUGUGGGGAGAGGUGAAAAUGUUUGAAAAUUGAUGGGAUGGUGGUUGCACAGCUCUGUGAAUAUUAUUCCUUUAUUUGACUGACUUGCACACUCUGAGUGGGGGGAAUUGUAUGGUAUGCAAAGUAAACUUCAA